AUUGAACGCUGGCGGCAGGCCUAACACAUGCAAGUCGAACGGUAACAGGAAGCAGCUUGCUGCUUUGCUGACGGGUGGCGGACGGGUGAGUAAUGUCUGGGAAACUGCCUGAUGGAGGGGGAUAACUACUGGAAACGGUAGCUAAUACCGCAUAACGUCGCAAGACCAAAGAGGGGGACCUUCGGGCCUCUUGCCAUCGGAUGUGCCCAGAUGGGAUUAGCUUGUUGGUGGGGUAACGGCUCACCAAGGCGACGAUCCCUAGCUGGUCUGAGAGGAUGACCAGCCACACUGGAACUGAGACACGGUCCAGACUCCUACGGGAGGCAGCAGUGGGGAAUAUUGCACAAUGGGCGCAAGCCUGAUGCAGCCAUGCCGCGUGUAUGAAGAAGGCCUUCGGGUUGUAAAGUACUUUCAGCGGGGAGGAAGGGAGUAAAGUUAAUACCUUUACUCAUUGACGUUACCCGCAGAAGAAGCACCGGCUAACUCCGUG
rnacentral:rRNA from 1 species